rnacentral:rRNA from 1 species
GAUGAACGCUGGCGGCGUGCCUAAUACAUGCAAGUCGAGCGAACAGACGAGAGUGCUUGCACUCUCUGACGUUAGCGGCGGACGGGUGAGUAACACGUGGGUAACCUACCUAUAAGACUGGGCUAAAUUCGGGAAACCGGAGCUCAUACCGGAUAAUAUUUAGCUUCGCAUGAAGCAAUAGUGAAAGACGGUUCUGCUGUCACCUAUAGAUGGACCCGCGGUGUGUUAGCUAGUUGGUGAGGUAACGGUUAACCAAGGCAACGAUACAUAGCCGACCUGAGAGGGUGAUCGGCCACACUGGGACUGAGACACGGCCCAGACGCCUACGGGAGGCAGCAGUAGGGAAUCUUCCGCAAUGGACGAAAGUCUGACGGAGCAAUGCCGCGUGAGUGAAGAAGGUUUUCGGAUCGUAAAACUCUGUUGUAAGGGAAGAACAAGUACGUUAGUAACUGAACGUACCUUGACGGUACCUUACCAGAAAGCCACGGCUAACUACGUG